ACGUAGGGUCCGAGCGUUGUCCGGAAUUAUUGGGCGUAAAGGGCUUGUAGGCGGUCCGUCGCGUCAGGAGUGAAAACUCAGGGCUUAACCCUGAGCCUGCUUUUGAUACGGGCGGACUAGAGGGAUGCAGGGGAGAACGGAAUUCCUGGUGGAGCGGUGGAAUGCGCAGAUAUCAGGAGGAACACCGGUGGCGAAGGCGGUUCUCUGGGCAUUACCUGACGCUGAGAAGCGAAAGCGUGGGGAGCAAACAGGCUUAGAUACCCUGGUAGUCCACGCCGUAAACGGUGGGCACUAGGUGUGGGGGACAUUCCACGUUCUCCGUGCCGAAGCUAACGCAUUAAGUGCCCCGCCUGGGGAGUACGGCCGCAAGGCUA
rnacentral:rRNA from 1 species